rnacentral:rRNA from 1 species
AUACGGAGGAUGCAAGCGUUAUCCGGAUUUAUUGGGUUUAAAGGGUGCGUAGGCGGUUUGCUAAGCGGGAGGUGAAAUGCCGGCGCUCAACGUCGGAAGUGCCUCCCGAACUGGUGGACUGGAAUGACUCUGCCGUGGGAGGAAUGUGUAGUGUAGCGGUGAAAUGCUUAGAGAUUACACAGAACACCGAUUGCGAAGGCAUCUCACGAAGGGUUGAUUGACGCUGAGGCACGAAAGCGUGGGGAUCAAACAGGAUUAGAUACCCUGGUAGUCCACGCAGUAAACGAUGAUGGCUAACCGCUGGUUUAUUCGGAUCAGUGGCCAAGCGAAAGCGAUAAGCCAUCCACCUGGGGAGUAUGACCGCAAGGUUGAGACUCAAAGGAAUUGACGGGG